rnacentral:rRNA from 1 species
CCUACGGGGGGCAGCAGUGAGGAAUAUUGGUCAAUGGGCGAGAGCCUGAACCAGCCAAGUCGCGUGAGGGAAGACGGUCCUAUGGAUUGUAAACCUCUUUUGCCGGGGAGCAAAAAGCGGUACGUGUACCGCAUCGAGAGUACCCGGAGAAAAAGCAUCGGCUAACUCCGUGCCAGCAGCCGCGGUAAUACGGAGGAUGCGAGCGUUAUCCGGAUUUAAUGGGUUAAAAGGGUGCGCAGGCGGCGAGUUAAGUCAGCGGUAAAAGUUCGGGGCUCAACCCCGACAAGCCGUUGAAAAUGGCUUGCUAGAGUGGGCGAGAAGUAUGCGGAAUGCGUGGUGUAGCGGUGAAAUGCAUAGAUAUCACGAGGAACCCCGAUUGCGAAGGCAACCUGCCGGGGUGCGACUGACGCUGAGGCUCGAAGGUGCGGGUAUCAAACAGGAUUAGAUACCCGUGUAGUC